rnacentral:rRNA from 1 species
GACGAACGCUGGCGGCGUGCCUAAUACAUGCAAGUCGAACGCUGAAGGAGGAGCUUGCUCUUCUGGAUGAGUUGCGAACGGGUGAGUAACGCGUAGGUAACCUGCCUGGUAGCGGGGGAUAACUAUUGGAAACGAUAGCUAAUACCGCAUAAGAGUAGAUGUUGCAUGACAUUUGCUUAAAAGGUGCAAUUGCAUCACUACCAGAUGGACCUGCGUUGUAUUAGCUAGUUGGUGGGGUAACGGCUCACCAAGGCGACGAUACAUAGCCGACCUGAGAGGGUGAUCGGCCACACUGGGACUGAGACACGGCCCAGACUCCUACGGGAGGCAGCAGUAGGGAAUCUUCGGCAAUGGACGGAAGUCUGACCGAGCAACGCCGCGUGAGUGAAGAAGGGUUUCGGAUCGUAAAGCUCUGUUGUAAGAGAAGAACGAGUGUGAGAGUGGAAAGUUCACACUGUGACGGUAUCUUACCAGAAAGGGAUGGCUAACUACGUG